CCUACGGGUGGCAGCAGUGAGGAAUAUUGGUCAAUGGGCGGAAGCCUGAACCAGCCAAGUAGCGUGCAGGAUGACGGCCCUACGGGUUGUAAACUGCUUUUAUAUGGGAAUAAAAUGUUCCACGUGUGGGAUUUUGUAUGUACCAUAUGAAUAAGGAUCGGCUAACUCCGUGCCAGCAGCCGCGGUAAUACGGAGGAUCCGAGCGUUAUCCGGAUUUAUUGGGUUUAAAGGGAGCGUAGGUGGAUUGUUAAGUCAGUUGUGAAAGUUUGCGGCUCAACCGUAAAAUUGCAGUUGAAACUGGCAGUCUUGAGUACAGUAGAGGUGGGCGGAAUUCGUGGUGUAGCGGUGAAAUGCUUAGAUAUCACGAAGAACUCCGAUUGCGAAGGCAGCUCACUGGACUGCAACUGACACUGAGGCUCGAAAGUGUGGGUAUCAAACAGGAUUAGAUACCCUAGUAGU
rnacentral:rRNA from 1 species